ensembl:lncRNA
AGGGUUAGCAGUGUGGUUAAGGUUAUCAUUAAGGUUGGGUCAGACAUUAGGUUAGCAGUGUGGUUAAGGUUAGGGUCAGACAUUAGGGUUAGCAGUGUGAUUAAGGUUUGGGUCAGACAUUAGGGUUAGCAGUGUGGUUAAGGUUUGGGUCAGACAUUAGGGUUAGCAGUGUGGUUAAGGUUAUUGUUAAGGUUAGGGUCAGUCAUUAGGGUUAGCAGUGUGGUUAAGGUUAUCAUUAAGGUUUGGGUCAGACAUUGGGGUUAGCAGUGUGGUUAAGGUUUGGGUCAGACAUUAGGGUCAGACAUUAGGGUUAGCAGUGUGGUUAAGGUUAGGGUCAGACAUUAGGGUUAGCAGUGUGGUUAAGGUUUGGG